CUCACUAAACUUCUGAAAGGCAGGAGUCUGAAAUGGCAUUGGCUAGAGAAACUGGGAUUGAGUGAAAAGAUAGCAGUCAAUGAUUCCCCUGACCCAGGAAUUCCACCUCUUUACUUUGGAUAAGUUAGACUUAUAAGGUACAAAAGAAAACAACUUUAUUUUUUAUUCCUGUCCCUUCAAGCCUUCUGUGAAAGUGAUUCUCAAUGUGUGGUCCCUGGGCCAGCAGCAUCAACAUCACCUGGAACUUGUGAGAAAUGAAGAUUCACAGGCCCUUCUCUAUACCUACUGAAUCAGACACUGGGUGUAGCGGGGAACACCACAAUCUGUCUUUAAGAAAUCCUCAAGGCACACAUAACUCACAAUGGCAUAAAUUCAAAUCUGGGAUCUCAGACAGUUUGGAGGCUUGCAUAUCUAGGCCAGAAACCGGG
rnacentral:lncRNA from 13 species